rnacentral:lncRNA from 1 species
CAGCCUCACCAGGCUCGUGCAUGGCAACCGCUUCUCCUGGAAGCCUUCUGUAUUGGGAUUCAGAAAACAGGAUUCCCAGGAUUGUGACUCCAUCCUUGACUCCUCUGCUCAGCAUCAGACUAUCUACUGCCAGCUGGACAUCCCCACCGCACACCCCACUGACCCUGAAGCCACAGCAGCUCAAGAAUUGGCCUCCUCAUUGUCCUCCACCAGCUCCCUCCAGGUUUCCCUCAGCUAGAUUCUCUCUGCCGUUACCAAAAAUUUUCUGCUAGGACUUUGGAAUCAGAAGAGCUCUCAUUAAGACCAACGACCUGCAGGGAUGUGUGUGUGGCUGAUUCUAUCUUUUGAUUUCUAGACUUUUCAGUUUUGAAUUCUUCACAAAUAAAAUAAACUUGAGAACUGGCCACAAAAUGUGACCAUGUGUGUGCUCAUUUCUAACUGAAAUAAACAAAAGCAGCCCAGGAUGUGCACAGUGGUCUGCCUUUCCCAGCUCGGUGCAGAAGGUACCACAAACAAAACUGCAAUGAGAACUUCACACACAGCAUCUGACCUCCUUUUGGGAACUGCAGAAAAUGAAAUGAAAAAUGAGGUGAGGAAGACUUGCCAGCCCUUCAUAUGGCUACAGUUGCUAAGGAAACUGCUUUCUUAGCCUCAACCUGUCCAGUGCAGCAUGCCUC